ACACAUGCAAGUCGAGCGGGCGUAGCAAUACGUCAGCGGCAGACGGGUGAGUAACGCGUGGGAACGUACUUUUUGGUUCGGAGCAACACAGGGAAACUUGUGCUAAUACCGGAUAAGCCCUUACGGGGAAAGAUUUAUCGCCGAAAGAUCGGCCCGCGUCUGAUUAGCUAGUUGGUGAGGUAAUGGCUCACCAAGGCGACGAUCAGUAGCUGGUCUGAGAGGAUGAUCAGCCACAUUGGGACUGAGACACGGCCCAAACUCCUACGGGAGGCAGCAGUGGGGAAUAUUGGACAAUGGGCGCAAGCCUGAUCCAGCCAUGCCGCGUGAGUGAUGAAGGCCCUAGGGUUGUAAAGCUCUUUUGUGCGGGAAGAUAAUGACGGUACCGCAAGAAUAAGCCCCGGCUAACUUCGUGCCAGCAGCCGCGGUAAUACGAAGGGGGCUAGCGUUGCUCGGAAUCACUGGGCGUAAAGGGUGCGUAGGCGGGUCUUUAAGUCAGGGGUGAAAUCCUGGAGCUCAACUCCAGAACUGCCUUUGAUACUGAAGAUCUUGAGUUCGGGAGAGGUGAGUGGAACUGCGAGUGUAGAGGUGAAAUUCGUAGAUAUUCGCAAGAACACCAGUGGCGAA
rnacentral:rRNA from 1 species